CUUCCACCCUGUGCAGGGUUCAGCAUCCCUGGGUAAUGAACUCUGUCCAUCUUGUCCUCUCGUCUGUCUGUCCUCAGAGGCCUGGAUCACCACCUCCAGGCCCU
ensembl:misc_RNA Gm56458 predicted gene, 56458